UACGGGGGGGGCAAGCGUUGUUCGGAAUUACUGGGCGUAAAGGGCUCGUAGGUGGCCAACUAAGUCAGACGUGAAAUCCCUCGGCUUAACCGGGGAACUGCGUCUGAUACUGGAUGGCUUGAGUUUGGGAGAGGGAUGCGGAAUUCCAGGUGUAGCGGUGAAAUGCGUAGAUAUCUGGAGGAACACCGGUGGCGAAGGCGGCAUCCUGGACCAACACUGACACUGAGGAGCGAAAGCCAGGGAAGCAAACGGG
rnacentral:rRNA from 1 species